UGGCGAACGGGUGAGUAACGCGUGAGGAACCUGCCUCAAAGAGGGGGACAACAGUUGGAAACGACUGCUAAUACCGCAUAAGCCCACGGGUCGGCAUCGACCUGAGGGAAAAGGAGCAAUCCGCUUUGAGAUGGCCUCGCGUCCGAUUAGCUAGUUGGUGAGGUAACGGCCCACCAAGGCGACGAUCGAUAGCCGGACUGGGAGGUUGAACGGCCACAUUGGGACUGAGACACGGCCCAG
rnacentral:rRNA from 1 species